rnacentral:lncRNA from 1 species
UGGGACUACAGGCGCCCACCACCUUGCCCGGCUAACUUUUUUUGUAUUUUUAGUAGAGACGGGGUUUCACCAUCUUAGCCAUGAUGGUCUCGAUCUCCUGACCUCGUGAUCCGCCCGCCUCGGCCUCCCAAAGUGCUGGGAUUACAGGCGUGAGCCACCACGCCCGGCCCAGUCUACAGAUUUUCUUUUGACUUUUUAAAUAUGGCCUUUGAAACACAAACAUUUUUUAUUUUGAUUAAGCCCAACUUCUCAAUUUUCUUUAAUCGUCGUGCACAAAGUGUGUUUUCUUCUAAGGAUUUUAUGUUUUAGCUCUUACAUUUAGGUCUUUGAUCCAUGUUAUUUUUUGUGUACAGUGUGUUCUCCAUUAUGUUUUUACAUAAAAGGCAGAAUACUGUACACACUGUCUUUUUUCACUUAAUAUACACUUUGUCUUUUUUCACUUAAUAAUGUAUACUGGAGAUUAUUUCCCUUCAGUACACAAAAUGCGAUUUCAGUCCUUUUUACAGCUAUAUAGAAAAAUAUCUUAUGGAUCUGCCAGACAAUUUUAACCACCUGUUGCUUGAUAUUCAGGUUAAUUCUAAUUUUGCAUCAAACAACUUUGCAAUACAUUAUUUCACACUUGUCUGAGACUAUCUGUAGGAUAAAUUCUUAGGAGUGGAACUGCAAGAUAAAAUGGUAACUGCAACCGUAACUUUGGUAGCUAUGGCUAAGUACCUAAUCUCCAUAGAGAUUUCUCCAAUUUCACUUCCAAUAACAAACUAUGAGCAUGCCAGUUUCUUUACUCUCUUCUCCACUGUGCUAACAAACCUUUCGAUCUGUGACUACUUGAUAGGUAAAAAGUUGUAUCUCAGUGUAGAUUUUAUUUUAAAUUGUUUUACUAUGAGUGAGGAUGAGUAUCUUUUCCUAUGCUUAAAACUCCGUUCCUGUCUGUCUGUAGCCUGCCUGUAUUUCCCCUAAAUUGUUGGUAUUUUUCUUACUCAUUUGUUAGGUGCACUUUUAUUUUAUUUAUUUAUUUAUUUUUGAGACGGAGUCUUG